rnacentral:lncRNA from 1 species
AUGGCCACCAUCGGCUCCACGGUCUGCUUGGAGCAGCCUGCGGGGUGCUUGUGGGGUCGGAGGGGCCUGAUGGGGUCUGCAGAGCUCAGCUGGGACCACCCCAAGCUCGCCCUGUGCCCCCCAAUGGGGCCGGGCUGUCCGCAUCCAUCCCUGACACCUCCGCUCCUCCAUCCCACAGAGCCCGGCCCCGGCACUGAGCGGGGCAUGGACGGCCCCGAAAUCUUCCUGGGCCCCUGCGAGGGAGCCCUCUGCGGGGUCCCGGGGCAGAAGCGCCGCUGCAUGUCGGCCCUGGAGCCCGUCACUGUGCCCAGCCCCAAAUCCGAGGCCAGCUGGGGCGAGGAGGAGGAGGAAGAGGAGGAAGAUGAAGAGGAUGAAGAGCGGUCCCGGGGGGUGCCGCUGCGGCGAGCCUGUGCCCUGCGGACCUCGAUGCGCAGCCGGGACCCGUUCCGACGGCACAGCUGGGAGCCGGGCAAGGAGCUGCGCGGGGUCCCCGGCUACGACCAGCUCAGCGUGAGCCUCAAGGGGCUGAGCCCCGACGACAUCGACUCCAGCACGGAGCAGCUGGACGGGCUGGGGAGACGCCGGUGGGACCCCCGGAGAGCCCCCCUGAUCCACAGCACCGAGUCCCUGCUGUCCCUGGACGAGGAGGACGAGGCCGAUCUGCAGCGGGCGCAGGAGGACGCGCGGAGGCUUCAGGUGUACGGGGCCAGGAGCGCCGGCGGCUGCGCCCUCGCCAAAUCCGCGUCCCUCAGCGUCAUCGACAGCUUCCCCCCCGCCGUGGGUGAGUGCCAGCGCCCGCAGGGAUGGGUGGGGGUUUUGGGGCGAUGGGACCCCCGCCCCUCCUUUAAUUCGGGCCCCCUCUCUUGCAGAAAUUUCCCCCUUCGCCUCCCAGCAGAGCCUGGCCAACGGGUGAGUGUGGGGGCUGCGGGGGGCGCAGGGGGGUGUG